GAUGAACGCUGGCGGCGUGCCUAAUACAUGCAAGUCGAGCGAAGCGGGGACGGGUGAGUAACACGUGGAUAACCUCCUCUAAGACUGGGAUAACUUCGGGAAACCGGAGCUAAACCGGAUGCUUAUAUAUGGAUCCGCGCUGCAUUAGCUAGUUGGUAAGGUAACGGCUUACCAAGGCAACGAUGAAUAGCCGACCUGAGAGGGGGAUCGGCCAAACUGGGACUGAGAUGCGGUCUAGACUCCUACGGGAGGUAGCAGUAGGGUAGCUUCCGCAAUGGGCGAAAGCCUGACAGAGCAACGCCGCGUGAGUGAUGAAGGUCUUCUGAGCGUAAAACUCUGUUAUUAGGGAAGCGGUACCUAAUCAGAAAGCAACGGCUAACUACGUGCCAGCCGACGCGGUAAUAC
rnacentral:rRNA from 1 species